ACUAAUUCCAGGGAGACAGUGUUGGAAUGGAGUUAAAUUACAGCUGGUAUUGCAGAUUUGCUUGAUGUGUGGAAAACCGCUGCGUCUGGUGUCGGUAGUACUGAAGAUGUCCUGUUGAUCAGUGGACUUUACUUCCUGAGACAUGUUACAACCCGUAUCUAUCCACCACAACCAGCUGCAGAGGUGACACAGAAGCCGCUCCCGAGACAGGACUAGCCAGGCCUCGGAUAACUGCAAAAGUUCCUCACCUUGAGUCUGUCCAGAUUUCCUAAGCAUGUUGCUGAGAAGAACAGGUUUACAGGGGCACAACGAAGCCUUUCUCAGUCGUGACUCCCAGUGAGCAUACAGGCUCCCUGAGCUCUCCCUUUCUGCCUGUAUACAGGGCACACGCCCUAGAAACCAUUACCAGCUUGAGAAGACACAUUUAGGCUUUGUGCUUUUUUGAAGGAAAGGCUCUGAUGAUGAUGAAAUGAGAUAUGGUGAAAGAAGAGUAUCUUGAAAUGUGUUGGAGUGAUACUCU